UACGUAGGGCGCAAGCGUUUGUCCGGAAUUAUUGGGCGUAAAGAGCUCGUAGGCGGCCCUCUCAGUCGGAUGUGAAAUCCCCAGGCUUAACCUGGGAACGGCAUCCGAUACUGGAGGGCUUGAAUUCGGGAGAGGGAUGCAGAAUUCCAGGUGUAGCGGUGAAAUGCGUAGAUAUCUGGAGGAAUACCGGUGGCGAAGGCGGCAUCCUGGACCGAGAUUGACGCUGAGGAGCGAAAGCUAGGGGAGCAAACGGG
rnacentral:rRNA from 1 species